AUGCCUUGAACGACUCAUAGACUUAAAUAAUGGCGAAGGGCAAAUUUUUACUAUUGAUGGCCCCCUGUGUUUGAAAAAUGUGCAGUCUAUGUUUGGAAAGCUGAUAGACCUGGUGUACACACCUUUCCAUGCUGUGCUCAAGUGUGGCCACCUAAUGGCCGAUGUACAAGUCUUCCCCAGGCCAGAACCUUUUGUUAUAGAUGAAGAAAUUGAUCCCAUCCCUAAAGUCAUUAACACAGAUUUGGAAAUAGUGGGCUUUAUUGACAUAGCUGAUAUUUCCAGCCCCCCAGUUUUGUCCAGGCAUUUGGUCUUGCCCAUAGCACUUAACAAAGAAGGUGACGAGGUGGGUGCUGGCAUCACUGAUGACAAUGAAGAUGAGAAUUCAGCCAAUCAGAUUGCUGGCAAAAUACCCAACUUCUGUGUCCUGCUCCAUAGCAGCCUGAAGGUGGAAGGAAUGGUGGCACUUGUCCAACUAGGUCCUGAAUGGCAUGGAAUGCUCUACUCCCAAGCUGACAGCAAGAAGAAAUCAAACCUCAUGAUGUCCCUCUUCGAGCCUGGCCCAGAACCUCUCCCGUGGCUUGGGAAAAUGGCACAGUUGGGACCCAUCUCAGAUGCUAAAGAAAACCCUUAUGGGGAGGAUGACAACAAGAGCCCAUUUCCCCUGCAGCCCAAAAACAAACGAAGUUAUGCCCGGAAUGUGACUGUCUGGAUCAAACCCAGCGGCCUGCAGACAGAUGUACAGAAGAUCUUAAGAAAUGCAAGGAAGCUCCCUGAGAAAACACAGACAUUCUAUAAGGAGCUGAACAGGUUACAAAAAGCUGCCUUAGCCUUUGGUUUCCUGGACCUGCUUAAAGGGGUGGCCGACAUGUUGGAGAGGGAGUGCACCCUGCUGCCGGACACAGCCCACCCAGAUGCCGCAUUCCUGCUCACCCACGCUGCCCAGCAGCUCAAGCUGGCCACCACUGAGUAUGCCACAUAUGACCACAACAUC